rnacentral:rRNA from 1 species
UACGUAGGUGGCAAGCGUUGUCCGGAUUUAUUGGGCGUAAAGGGCGCGCAGGCGGUCCGUUAAGUCUGAGGUGAAAUCUCCCGGCUCAACUGGGAGGGGUCUUCAGAUACUGGCGGACUUGAGGAGUGCAGAGGUGAGUGGAAUUCUCGGUGUAGUGGUGAAAUGCGUAGAUAUCGAGAGGAACACCAGUGGCGAAGGCGGCUCACUGGGCACCACCUGACGCUGAGGCGCGAAAGCGUGGGGAGCGAACCGGAUUAGAUACCCUGGUAGU